rnacentral:rRNA from 1 species
CCUACGGGUGGCAGCAGUGGGGAAUAUUGCGCAAUGGGCGAAAGCCUGACGCAGCGACGCCGCGUGAGGGAUGAAGGUCUUCGGAUCGUAAACCUCUGUCAGCAGGGAAGAACGGUCACUGUGCUAAUCAGCAGUGAAUUGACUGUACCUGCAAAGGAAGCACCGGCUACUUCCGGCCGGCAGCCGCGUGAAUACGGUGGGUGCGAGAGUUAAUCGGAAUUAGUGGGCGUAAAGCGCUCGUGAGGUGUAUGUUAAGUGCAGGGUGAAAUCCCCGCGCUCAACGUGGGAACUGCCGUUUGAACUGGCAAACUGGAGAGUGUGAGAGGAUAGUGGAAUUCCAGGUGUAGGAGUGAAAUCCGUAGAUAUCGGGAGGAACAUCAGUGGCGAAGGCGACUAUCUGGCACAUAACUGACGCUGAGGAGCGAAAGCGUGGGUAGCAAACAGGAUUAGAUACCCUAGUAGUC